UGAGUAACCUGCCCUUAACUCUGGGAUAAGCCUGGGAAACUGGGUCUAAUACCGGAUAUGACUCCUCAUCGCAUGGUGGGGGGUGGAAAGCUUUAUUGUGGUUUUGGAUGGACUCGCGGCCUAUCAGCUUGUUGGUGAGGUAAUGGCUCACCAAGGCGACGACGGGUAGCCGGCCUGAGAGGGUGACCGGCCACACUGGGACUGAGACACGGCCCAGACCUCCGUACGGGGAGGCAG
rnacentral:rRNA from 1 species